rnacentral:rRNA from 1 species
CCAAUAGCGUAUAUUAAAGUUGUUGCAGUUAAAAAGCUCGUAGUUGAAUUUCAGGCCUGGCUGGACGGUCCGCCCUUCGAGUGAGUACUGUCUGUGGUCGGGUCCUACCUUCUGGCGAAGCGUCAUGGCCUUAACCGGCCGUGGCGGGGAACCAGGACUUUUACUGUGAAAAAAUUAGAGUGUUCAAAGCAGGCAAUCGCUUGGAUACAUUAGCAUGGAAUAAUGGAAUAGGACAAUGGUUCUAUUUGUUGGUUUCUAGGACCGUUGUAAUGAUUAAUAGGGAUAGUUGGGGGCAUUAGUAUUCAAUUGUCAGAGGUGAAAUUCUUGGAUUUAUUGAAGACUGACUACUGCGAAAGCAUUUGCCAAGGAUGUUUUCAUUAAUCAAGAACGAAAGUUAGGGGAUCGAAGACGAUCAGAUACCGUCGUAGUCUUAACCAUAAACUAUGCCGACUAGGAAUCGGGCGAUGUUGACAAAAUGACGCGCUCGGCACCUCAUG